AGCAGCCGCGGUAAUUCCAGCUCCAAUAGCGUAUAUUAAAGUUGUUGCAGUUAAAAAGCUCGUAGUUGAAUUUCGGGAUCAAGUCGUCGGUCGUGCUCAGGUACGUACUGGCGUCAUUGAUUUCUCCCUUCUGACGAACCAUGAUGUCAUUAACUUGGUGUCAUGGGAAAUCAGGACUGUUACUUUGAAAAAAUUAGAGUGUUUAAAGCAGGCUCACGCUUGAAUACAUUAGCAUGGAAUAAUGAAAUAGGACGUUCGAUCCUAUUUUGUUGGUUUUAGGAUCAACGUAAUGAUUAAUAGGGAUAGUUGGGGGCAUUAGUAUUCAAUUGUCAGAGGUGAAAUUCUUGGAUUUAUUGAAGACUAACUACUGUGAAAGCAUUUGCCAAGGAUGUUUUCAUUAAUCAAGAACGAAAGUUAGGGGAUCGAAGACGAUCAGAUACCGUCGUAGUCUUAACCAUAAACUAUGCCGACUAGGGAUCGGAUGAUGUUAAUUUUUAAUGA
rnacentral:rRNA from 1 species